CAUGGGAGAAAUCUGUCAGAAAUACUACAAUUUCUUGUGAGGAAAAAGAGAAAGAAGACAGAUGUCAUGUGUGUGCCUCCCACCGUCUGCUGCUCAAAACCCACUAAGCCUCCAAAAUAACCUCCCACGUGAUCCCCACCAGGUUGGAUGAAGACAAAGCAAAACGAUACCAAGUCUACAAAGGAGUGGAAUGAAACACUUCAUACCACAGACCAUGUGUGCCCUUUCUCAAAAUGCAGACACUUGUCUAAAGAACCGAAGUCAGAGGGCACUAACAACUUGCAAAUGGAUGGCCUCCAGCUGAUUGUCUCCCCCCACCGUCGUCCUCCCCCUCCUCCUCCUCCUCCUCGUCCUCCUCCUUCUCCUUCUCCUCCUCCUCCUUUUUCCUUUUCUCUUUUCACCAUCUUCAAGAAUUCCAAAUGAGUUCUGCAGACAUACGGACUGAACAGUGCUCCUAAUACCCCUUCCUCAGGAUCUUCUCUCAAGCUGAGGCAGAUUUUCACAAACAGAAUACACAGCAAGACGCUCGAUAGCAAUGAAGAAAUGAAGUCUUAUCUUUUGUGACAUCUUCGAUGAACCUGGAAUACAAAAUUAAAUACAAUAAGCCAGACAGAAAGUCAACACCUGGCCUCAUGUAGGAUCUAAGAAAAUGAUCUUGCAGAAGUAGAAAGAGAAACCAUAGACAGUGAGACCCAGAAGACAGCAGAAAUGAGGUGGAGGGGAAGAAAUUAGCUAAUGAGUACAAAGUUACAGCCAGAUUGGAGGGAAAAGCUCUGAGGUGUUAUCACAGAUAACAGCAGUGCCUGAGAGGGUUCAGAUGAGCCAGGAGAGAGGAUUUUGAGUAUUCUCACCACAAAGAAAUGCCGUGGGUAUGUGUCUGAGAUGAAAAAGAGGUUUAAUAUUCUGUUUUAAUCAUUUCCCUCUGUAUGAAUAUUUCUAAAUAUCAUAGGAUUCUCUACAAAUAUAUAUAAAUACUAUGUGUCAACUAAAAAUGACACCAAAAGCCAACAAAAACACCAUUUAAAGAAAAAUAGUCCCAAACUUAGUGAGGAGAGACUUCUUUGAAGGGCUAAUUCCCAGGGAGAGAGCCUUCUGCAAUGGGGAGUCACAUGACUGUGAGUUCGGCAAGUGUGGCAGGUAUUAGACAAAGAACACGUUAUUUCUUUCUUGUUGGUUAUGUGGGUUCACUGGGCCCCAGAGUGAUAUUUGCAUCUAGAUAUACAGCAUGAACUGACAAAAACACAGCCUACUACAUGCCCCAUAACCUCUGUUAAUUACUGUUCUACAUCGAGGUCAACUCUUUUUACCUUCUACCAUGACAGAUAAUUGUGGAAAUUGUAGUUUAGCAUUGGGCUCACUGUAUCUAAUAUAAUGUCCUCUAUUAUCAUCCCAUCAGCUGCAAAUGACAGGAUUUCAUUCUUCAUUAUCAAAGAAUAACUACAUGUAACAUAUAUGUAGAUUAUAUGUAAAUCUACAUGUAUAAUAUAUAUUAUAUGUAGAUUGCUACCUAUAUGCAGGUGAAGGUAGGCACAAGAUAAAGCAAGAGCCUGUGACUGGGCAGCGAAAACGAAAGGUGGGCUGAGAAUUUUAGAGACGGGACAGAGAGUGGGGAAGGGAGAAGGAAGAAAGACGGAGAAGGAGGACGACACAGUUCUAUGUGGCUUCAAACAGCCACAGGUAGCUAUGAAUAUCAUAAGGGAUGGAUAAUUGCAGGACAAUUUGUCUUAUCUAGGUGGGCAGUUUAUAGCAAUAUCAAUUGGCUCUGAGUUUAUUGUGUGGAAGUUUUGUGGGGUGAGAAUUUACUGAUAUAAAUCUGACUGGUAUAUCACAAGCCUCUAGAGUUCUGACUUUACUGGGUUACUGGGAAUUGUGACUAUAACCACAGGGGGCAGAUGGCUGAGAAUAUGAGCAGAGUCCACAGCAGGAGAGCCAUAAAAUUGGCGGUCUCUACAUGGGGCUAGCCAUGGGGCCAGAGAGUAACUGUGCUAGCAUGGAAUGAUCCAUUUAUUUAUUAUUUAAUGCAAUAUAUGUAUGUGUAUAUACUGCUUAUAGUUUUACACUACCUGCCUUUAGCUCCAGGAAGUAACCAUGCUACCAGCCCCCUCCAAGCUUCCCUUGAAUCCUCAGACAAAAGACACACACAGUUUGUUCCUUUUCUACUUUCCUUCUUGGCAGAAUUACUGGGUUCUGCUAUCUCCCUCCUGGAAAAUCAUGCCCUUACCAAUUUCAUUUCUCUGCUCUCCCACCUGCCCUAUUCUUCAGUUGCUAACUCCUCUGACUGGCCUGGAGGAGCAGUCUGCUGAGAUCUCACAUGGCUGCCCAGUUCUCUCUCCAAAGCAUGACAGAUCCAUUCUCCUUCCUUGCAUCUACCUCUCAGCCCCAGGGACCCGAAGUCCUGCCUGUCCCUUCUGCUUAGCAAUUAGCCAUGGCUUUCUUUAUUGACAGAUCAAGAACCAAUUGGGGGAAUAGUACCUUAGCACCAGAAUAGCCCCCUACAUAUAUAAAGCAUAGUAUAUACAUAUAUUAUCUAUAGUAUCUUUGCUCACUUACAAUGGGUAUUAUUUUUAAAAAGACAAGUGGUGGAUGUUGGUAGGCCUGCUUAUCUAUUAGAUGCUUGCUCCCCAGCUGAUAGUGCUGUUUGAAAAGACUUUGUCCCUUCCUAGAGGUAGAACGCAGUGCAGUGGAGAGAAAGAGGUUACUACUGAUAGUUCUUUGAAAGUUACAACCCAGCUUCUAAUUCGGGUCUCAGUCAUUGCUGGUCCUGGUCCAUGAUGAGGUGAAUAGCCAGUUCCACAUACUUCCACAAGCCACGAACUGAGCUAUUCAACUGUGCCUUCCUCAUCACGAUGGACUGGAACCGUGAUCCUCAAUAAACGGUCCCUCCUUU